CUCAGAGGAAGGCGGGGGGCGCACACAAAGAAGCCCGACCUGCUGUGACCGUUACCGGGCGAACGGUGUGUAAGUAAAUCACGAAUUGAGAAGUUGGAAAGUACGAGGCUGACAUCUGAGGAAAAAUAACCUAUUUUUCAUGGAGUGGUUGGAUGAAUCAUAUCAUUGAAUGACUGUAACAGGGAGUUCCCUCAACUAGAAGAGGAAGGAUGUUAAAUCCUCGUCAAAGGAUUAUUUUUUCCACCAAAGUGUCUGUUAUGAAGCUACCACCAGAAAGCAAAGGCUUUGAAAGCCACCCCCGAAUUAACUUCUCCUGUCAAGGCAUCAAUUUCUGGAUUUUCCUCUCAUUUUUACUUGAAGUCAUUCUUAUAGGCUGCAGUAAAAACUCAGUGAAAA